GAUGAACGCUAGCGGGAGGCUUAACACAUGCAAGUCGAGGGGCAGCACUGAUAGCAAUAUUAGGUGGCGACCGGCGGACGGGUGAGUAACGCGUAUGCAACCUACCCUUUACAGGGGGAUAGCCCGGAGAAAUUCGGAUUAAUACCCCAUAGAUCAGUGAUUCUGCAUGGGAUUACUGGUAAAGCUUCGGCGGUAAAGGAUGGGCAUGCGUCCCAUUAGCUAGUUGGUAGGGUAACGGCCUACCAAGGCAACGAUGGGUACGGGGUCUUAAAGGAUGGACCCGCACACUGGCACUGAGACACGGGCCAGACUCCUACGGGAGGCAGCAGUGAGGAAUAUUGGUCAAUGGGGGGAACCCUGAACCAGCCAUCCCGCGUGCAGGAAGACAGUUCUAUGGAUUGUAAACUGCUUUUCUUGGGGAAGAAUAAUGACGACGUGUCGUCAGAUGACGGUACCCGAGGAAUAAGCAUCGGCUAACUCCGUGCCAGCAGCCGCGGUAAAACGU
rnacentral:rRNA from 1 species